GACGAACGCUGGCGGCGUGCUUAACACAUGCAAGUCGAACGGAAAGGCCCUGCUUUUGGGGGGUGCUCGAGUGGCGAACGGGUGAGUAACACGUGAGUAACCUGCCCUUGACUUUGGGAUAACUUCAGGAAACUGGGGCUAAUACCGGAUAGGAGCUCCUGCUGCAUGGUGGGGGUUGGAAAGUUUCGGCGGUUGGGGAUGGACUCGCGGCUUAUCAGCUUGUUGGUGGGGUAGUGGCUUACCAAGGCUUUGACGGGUAGCCGGCCUGAGAGGGUGACCGGCCACAUUGGGACUGAGAUGCGGCACAGACUCCUACGGGAGGCAGCAGUGGGGAAUAUUGCACAAUGGGCGGAAGCCUGAUGCAGCACCGCCGCGUGCGGGAUGACGGCCUUCGGGUUGUAAACCGCUUUCGCCUGUGACGAAGCGUGAGUGACGGUAAUGGGUAAAGAAGCACCGGCUAACUACGUG
rnacentral:rRNA from 1 species